AGAUAUAUGGUACCAGACGCAAGAUUUUUGCCACCUGCCGCUGCUCUAUGCACUAUCGACUGUUUAGUUCCCAAAAAUAAUUCAACCAUGCACAUACUCUAUUUUCAGACUAUCAUUUACUCUUAUAGUGCAUUUGGAUUCACGCUUUUUAUAUGUACAAGGAGUUUUCCAAAAACACGUUCUUAAGCUCUUUUGACGCAUUUAUGCAGACUGGGAGGCUGCAGCAAACCCUAGCGGAUUGCGUGGAGCGGCAAGGCAAGGCGUUGCAUUCGGGAAAGGUUUCGACGGUGAGACUGUGUCCCGAACGCGCUUCCCGAGGCAGGUACUUCGAUUUUCGUUCCAAUUUCGUUCCCGCCUCUGUUGAAUUCGCUCAGGUCUCGCCCCUCUGCACCACUCUGUACAAAGGCGGGUUCCGAAUUCGAAUGUGGAAGAAGUUGGUUUGACGGUGGCCACUGAUCUUGAUGGCAAAAGUGUUGAGAAAAUGGCACCACAUGUGAAUGAACCAGUGUAUGCUUGGAGAAAUGAUUCUUUUGUUGCUGCAUUUCCUUCCGAAGUGGUUCGAAUAACUUAUGGCAUUAACUUUUCGCAGGCACCUGUUAUUGGCUGCUAGUGGUUUUCUACACCCCCCUUGGAUAAUUUGGUGUACACUUAAGGUGUGUUUAUACACCCCUCUUAAGUUCCCUCCUUAAGUUCCCUCCUUUUCUAUCUCUGUGGUUCCCGGUGAACCUCAGGUUGAAUUGAUUACUGCAUUUAACAGACUUGUGCAGGGGCUGCCAUCCUAACAGACAUUGUAUUUUGGGUUUGGGGUGUUAUAGUCCCAUUCUUACAAAUUCCUUAACAGACUUGUGCAGGGGCUGCCAUCCUAAGCUUUGUUCUACAACAUUAGUUGUAAGCAUAUGUUGUUGUUCCCAAACAGGUGGCCAUAUCCCUUUCUGGAGCUUAAUAACAAGUGGGCUCCUAUAUGGUAUUUGUGCCUGGCAGUAAUUCAUGCCCCUUGCUAUGGCGUGUAUUAUCUGAUAGUGCGAGCCAAAAAUACGAUUCUCCCCAGAUUGUUCCCUCAAGCAUUUUUGUCAUAGGAAGUUCCAGACUAUGAAGGAAUCCUCAGACUAUGAAGCAUGUUGAGAAAAGGAAAAUGCCGGUGGAAUUAUACCCAAGGUGAUGGAGACAAUAUUCAAGAGGGUUCAGACUAUGAAGGAAUCCUCAGAGUUUUUGAUUAGGGUAUCUUUUAUCGAGGUAAACAAUAAUGCUUGAUGAAUUCUCUCUGUAAUUGAAAUUGAGCUUUUGAAACAUGGAAGUUUGAACUGCUAUAUAUUUUUUUGGUGAAUUAUUGAACUGCUAUAUUAUGAUGAAUAUUUUGUGGAUA